AAGUCGUAACAAGGUCUCCGUUGGUGAACCAGCGGAAGGAUCAUCAUCAAUUUCAUCAUAUCCCUUCCCCUCCAGGGUUUUGGGAUCCAUGAUAAACCCUUCUGUGCACCGUAUCCGUUCACUUUGGCAGGCUUUGGUGCGGGGGGGGUGAGCAACCUCCUCCUCCCCAACCUCUCGUUCUCCCUCCUCCACACGAGGAGGGGGGUUUACGCGUGGCGGCCUGCCGGAGUCCUACAAUUACAAACGCGUUUUUUCGAAUUCGACUGAAAAUUAUCUCCUUUGAGAAAUCAAAGAAAACGAAAACAACUUUCAACAACGGAUCUCUUGGCUCUC
rnacentral:misc_RNA from 1 species